rnacentral:rRNA from 1 species
AGUGAACGCUGGCGGUAGGCCUAACACAUGCAAGUCGAACGGCAGCACAGUAAGCGCUUGCUCUUACGGGUGGCGAGUGGCGGACGGGUGAGGAAUACAUCGGAAUCUACUUUUUCGGGGGGGAUAACGUAGGGAAACUUACGCUAAUACCGCAUACGACCUACGGGUGAAAGCAGGGGAUCUUCGGACCUUGCGCGAUUGAAUGAGCCGAUGUCGGAUUAGCUAGUUGGCGGGGUAAAGGCCCACCAAGGCGACGAUCCGUAGCUGGUCUGAGAGGAUGAUCAGCCACACUGGAACUGAGACACGGUCCAGACUCCUACGGGAGGCAGCAGUGGGGAAUAUUGGACAAUGGGCGCAAGCCUGAUCCAGCCAUACCGCGUGGGUGAAGAAGGCCUUCGGGUUGUAAAGCCCUUUUGUUGGGAAAGAAAAGCAGCAGGUUAAUACCCCGCUGUUCUGACGGUACCCAAAGAAUAAGCACCGGCUAACUUCGUG